rnacentral:lncRNA from 1 species
AUAAGACCAAAGCUACCGGACAGAGGAAAUUUCUGAAAUCCCUGAGGCUUCCUUUCUCCUGGACAAGGGGCCCUCUGCUGCUGGAUCUUAUUGUCUGAAGCACACAAGACUCCCAUCCUCUGGGAGGACUGCGGUUGCUGAAGGAGAAACUCAACCCUGGUCCUGGCACUGACCAGCAUGCAGCCCAGAUUGCCUGGUUAGCAGGGCUUCAGCUGCUUUCAUUCUCUUAACAACUUGGGGGACAAAAGAGACUUAAUAAAGCAACAGUGAUUCACUAAAAGAACCCCAAAAGGAGGUGAGUCAUAACAUUAUAUCCAUAGCUGUGGGGUAACAUACAAAGUAAUCCCUUGAGCACUGGGUUUAGCAUCGGAAGAUAAGGACUGUGUGAUCUUGUGUGAGUCACUUAACCUCUCUGAGCCUCAGGGUCCUCCUCCAUAGACACUGUCCCCUCUUCAGAGAGUGAUGGUGAUGAGCACAUGGACACACUCUGUGCUCCAGAGGAAAAGGUGAGUGCCAUUGCAAACCAUCCUAAACACUUUGUUCAUGCCAUCAUUAUAGCACUUCGUGCAUUGCAGUGUAAUUGUCUGUUUAUUUCACUGAGUGUCUCCUCCCAAUGAGGGACCCUACCAUCUGCCACAUUGUGGUGUUCAAUGAAUGUUUUUGGAAUGAAUGAAUAAACGAAUGAAUAAUCAAAUGAAUUAACAAAUCUGAAAAGCAUGAUGCAGACUUCAGCAUUUUUUUUUAACACAGAUAUACAUGUGGGUCACAAUGCAAGGAACUUUUUCCAAGCUUCUGGUCAUACCCAGAAACAUAAAAGCAUGGAAUAUUCAAGACGCAAUCAGAGGUGGCACAGAGUAUGGAACACGCUUUCCUGCUGCUUUGGCACAAGCUUCACCCUAGUGAGGCUCAGUUGCCCUUCAAACAUUGCCCCAGUGCUCCGUUCGCCGGCUAUCUCAGACAUACUGAUGCACACUGGAGUGCCAGCAGUUGCCAUUCCCGAGCUGGCUGAGGCCUGCGGUCCUGCCUCUCUAUCCUGUCUCACAGAUGGGAAAACCAGGGCCCUGGCAGGUGCAAUGGCUUGGCCCAGCGAUGGCUCAGGGUGCCCGACAACACACGCAGAACUCUCUCCAUCCCAGCCCUGCUUCUCAGAGGGUACAAGGCAGUGAGCUAGGGGUACGAGAAGCCCUCAAGAGCCCGAAAAUCAGGAAUUAUACAGAUG